AUGAACCCUACCUCGGCUCCGGGUCUGGAUGGCCUCCUGGUUAAAUUCUUCCAGACCUUCUGGAAUGUGAGUAAACCUGAGAUCAUGGCCAUCUUCGAUGAGUUCUAUGUUGGGUCCAUCGACCUCGAGCGCCUCAACUAUGGGAUCAUUUCGCUCAUCCCCAAGGUGCCUGGGGCUUCCGACAUCCGCCAGUUUCGUCCGAUCACGGUCAUCAAUGUGAGUUUCCGAAUUCUGGCGAAAGGGUACGCCAAUAGGGUGACCCUUCUUGCCGACCACAUUACCCACCCCAACCAGUCCGCCUUCAUUCAAGGGCGGUAUAUCCUGGAUGGGUGCUAG
rnacentral:rRNA from 1 species